GAUGAACGCUAGCUACAGGCUUAACACAUGCAAGUCGAGGGACCGGCGCACGAGUGAGAAACACGUAUCCAACCUGCCUUUUACUAGUGGAUCGUCUUCCGUAAGACAGAUUAAGACUAUAUGGAAAGGUUGGGGAGGCGUGUCAUUAGGUUGUUGGUGAGUUAUCGACUCACCAAGCGUUCGAGGGAUAGGGGUUCUGAGAGGAAGGUCCCCCACAUUGGAACGGAGACACGGUCCAAACUCCUACCGGAGGCAGCAGUGAGGAGUAUUGGUCAAUGGGCGUUAGACUGAACCAGCCAAGUAGCGUGAAGGAUGAAGGCUUCUGGGUCGUAAACUUCUUUUAUAUAAGAAUAUGUAUUAUAUGAAUAAGGAUCGGCUAACUCCGUGCCAGCAGCCGCGGUAAUAC
rnacentral:rRNA from 1 species